ACGGGGCGCAGCAGGCGCGAAAACUUGGCAAUGCGAGAAAUCGUGACCAGGGAACUCCAAGUGGCUGGGGUAAGACCCAGUCUUUUCUUGACUCUUCAAAGGUCUUGGAAUAAGAGGUGGGUAAGGACGGUGCCAGCCGCCGCGGUAAUACCGGCGCCUCAAGUGGUAGUCGAUUUUAUUGGGCCUAAAACGUCCGUAGCCGGUUUGGUACAUUCGUGGGUAAAUCAACCAGCUCAACUGGUUGAAUUCUGCGAGCACGGCCAGACUUGGGACCGGGAGAGGUGUGGGGUACGCUCAGGGUAGGGGUAAAAUCCUGUCAUCCUGAGCGGACCACCUGUUGCGAAGGCGCCACACUAGAACGGAUCCGACGGUCAGGGACGAAGCCUAGGGGCACGAACCGGAUUAGAUACCCGGGUAGUCCUAGGUGUAAACGCUGUGGACUUGGUGUUGGGGAUUCUCCGAGGAUUCUCAGUGCCGAAGCGAAGGUGAUAAGUCCACUGCCUGGGGAGUACGGUCGCAAGGCUGAAACUUAAAGGAAUUGGCGGGGGAGCAC
rnacentral:rRNA from 1 species